CCGUCCGUUUGGUUUUCGCUGCUUCGUUUCCUUCCGCAAGCGCUCACACCUCCGACAACUCACCUUCUUCCUCUCUGUGAAGUUUUAUGGUGAAAGAUCGGAUUUUUAUGGCGAAGUCGUAGGUUUCGGCAGCUGUCAAGUACGCGCGGAAGGCUAGGGCCGGUUGGGAAGCAGAGGGGAAAGCCUCAUUCUACCAACCCUACCUCCGAGCGCGUACCGGGGCCAGGAACGUCGCCCUCGAGCGCCUCCAGAUGUCGUCGCCGGUGGACCCCGCCUCCUGCCUCCAACUCCGUAGCCGCCGUCUCGAGAAGCCGACUCGCCCUCCUCCCCUCUCUGCUAGGUCCCGAGCCGCCGACAAGAACAAGCCCACUCCGAAAGCAGGCCCUAGCCGCCGGAUAGGCGGCAAGAAGGUAAUAGAAGCGAUGGCGGACCUCUCUAGGAUGGACUCUGUGGGUUCCGUGGUACCAGCGACUCGCAUAUCCAUCCAGCUGACGGCCGAAGGUGGUUCUGGGAUCCAAGCUUCUUUUGGUGGAAAUCCUUAUGAGCUCGACAGGAACAGAUUACUUCAAGACGCUUUAAUGCUGAGGAUUUCAAUUCUAGCCGACAAAACUUCCAUGUUUUUUUCCCAUUGAAAUGAAUGGAGCUUAAUAGCACUAUCAGAUACCCUUUCCAAUUCUGUCAUGUGAGAUGAUCUGGUCUGUCAAAAACAAUCUUUUGCUGCUUCACCGAAAGCUUCUUUUCAUUGAAUUUGUAGAUCUUCUAUAAAUGUCUGUCAUCUGGCUUCAGGAGUGAGAGAGAAACCACGCCAUGCAGCCUGAUGAGUAACUAUGAAGCACUAACUCCUGGUUCUACAAUUCUGCCUAUCGACUGCUGUGCAAAAGAGCAGCAACCAUCUGCCCUCGAAAUGGAAGCGCUUUUCGCAGGUCCAGAAGAACUCCAACAAAGAAGUUUCUUGGAGAAGUAUAACUUCGAUGUUGUGAAGGAUCAGCCCCUGCCAGGCCGCUAUGAAUGGGUGAAAUUGAACUCCUAGCGAGUGAUGUUCCAGUCUGACAAAACUUAACUACUGACACAAAAACGGAGAAGUGAGGAUUGCAGAGUGGUGCUGGAAGCACUGGAGUUCCAGGACUAGUGUUUAGUGUAACGUAGAAUAGAAUCCUAGAACAUCCAUUAAAUGAAGCUUCGAUGUUUGAUUGAUGUUUGUGGGUGUAUGGUUGGUGUGUAGUAUUAAAAGUACUGGGAAGACUGAAGUGUCUUUCUGAAUAAAGAUCGCCCUGUUGUUGCUCUA